GAUCACAUCGCGAAGAAUCUUCGAAGUGCGCGUUCGCUUGCUUAAGAAAUCUUCGGAAGUCGCGGAAGACACGCGCUAGAUGCGGACUGUUGAUGAGGUUUUUUUAUUUGAGUUUUAUUUUUGAUAUUCGUUCGUCGGAAUUUUAAGCACGGACUUGGUUUUUUAUUGCUUGGUGGUGAACUUUUCUGAGUUGUGAUUCGGUGGGAUGGUAGCGGGGAAGUUGAGAGUUGCUGAUGAAAAUGACUUGUGGCUGAGAGACCUCAUCGACUAGAUGGAAAUAAGAACGAAUGCUCCAAAAGCGUCAUGGCUUCCUCAGACGCUCUUUGCAUUUGUUUUUCUGGUAGAUUCUCUGGAACCUUCUCUGCUGAUAACGAGACACAACAGUGGGGAUAUCUUUGCUCAGGUACCAGAUGUACCUACACGAUGCAUAGAAGAAACAUGUGUCGGAAUGAGCAGCGGGACCGCCAUAGCUAUAUCCACCAGAGAUCUCUGCACGUGUCGGUGCCACUCUCAUCUUCCUGCAUUCAGAGAGGACCUGGGGAUCUGUGUAGAUGACA